GGGAUGUCAGUGUUGUUGCACAUAUGAAGCCAUUUUAUUGCCUACUUUCUUUAAAAAACUAUUUUAUCUACUUGAUUUUUAAAAUUAUGGUUUUGUUGAUUUCUGGUUUUUACUAUCUAGUUCUUCGCCCUUCCUACUACAAGUUGUAUUGCUGGUCGUUGUCCUAGUAUCAAAUCUUAAGACCUGGUUCCAGCUAUUUGUAAUGUCUUUC
rnacentral:misc_RNA from 1 species